UGGAGGACUCUGCCUGCUGCCGUGCCGAGUAAGCAGUCUGGCUGAGGCUGCGUUGCAGCCCGAAUGGGGCUCCCGGCCCCACGCCAGUAAUAUCAAUCCGAAUUAGCUCAGUGUGGAUUGUAAUCUGCAGCACUGACUACUGACGAACUCUUUGAGGUUUUUUUUUUUCCGGAGCGUUUUCAUAUUCCACACACAGGGCUGCAUUUCACUCUUUGAAGCAGCUCUGAAAAGCAGUCGGUGGUGGAAACUUGGGUUGAAACGGGACAAGAACAAGAUUUUAACUCAGAAAUCUCCAAUCCUCUGCAGUGCAAGAGCCGCUCGUGCAGACCGACAAUCAUGCUUCCUGCUGCAGAAUUGAACUGACAGGAGCGAUGGAGGCUCCCCAGAGGGUUAACAUCUGGGCCCCUGCGCAGGCCAGGGCGAUGGGGAGCCACAGCGAAAACUCGACAUUCCUUCAGCCUGAUGUAGGAUAGAAGUGGUUCGCUAACAUGGGGUCUCCUUUAACGGAGUCCGAAGAGCCUCCCUGUAUAAUUUCCUUUCCUAAAUUGUGUAUAUUCUCAUUUUUAUGCUGUGUGGUAAAAAUGAAACAUGACUCUGGGGCCGUUUUCCUCCCCGUCUGUGUGAUUUUUUUAAUACUAUGAUAGAAAUGCUCGGGACUCUAAGCCUUGAUGAUAAGUUUCAUGUUCUUGGGAGGUCACAAAGUAGCACCAAACGCCACAAAGCACCUAGUUACAGAGCUGACAGACUGGAGCUGUACAGACCCGCACGUCUGCAUCGUUUACAACCUCCACAGGACCGAGAAAACCUGCAGCAGCAUGUCAUCCACUUGUCCACUACCUACAGAAGCAGGAUCCUUUUUUCUUUUUUUGUUUCUUUCCCCUUCCCUCCCUCCAGUGUUGGUACCAUCGUGUUCCUCCACAGACUCUCCGAGACUUCAGUAUUGAACAUGUCCCAAUAUUAUUAUCUUAGUCACACUUCUAGGGGCAAAAUAUUUCAGGAAGGAGAAAUAAAUGAUCUGUAUUCCCACAGGAUAAGUACACACUUUUCCAGCACACACCCAGACACUAAACUCAUCAGUCAGUUCGUCCCUCUGUUCCUCCAUUUAUUUUUUAUUUCAUAUCCACCCUUAAACCCACAGCGACCGAUCUUGUCUUCAUACACUAAACUACUGAACCCUAUAAUCUCACACUCAACAGUAUUUACUGAGGCUAAGAGUCCCCAAUUCCCACGCAGUUACUAGAUGCUUUGUAGUACAUAGUAAAUUUUUUUUUACAAAAAUUUUAACCUUUUGCUUUGAUUAAAGUUUUUGUUUGGCUUCUUUUUUUUUUUUUUCUUUUUUUUUUUUCCUUUUGCUUUGCCAGUAUAUUAAAGUGUAAUCAUGUGCGUUGUGAUAUAGAAGUAGCUGUAGAAACCGCAUUGUUUCCUUGUGGUAAGUGAUUGAGAUGCUGCCACGGAUUUGAGACACUGAUGAAUGGUGCUAUUUUGGACUUUAAUCUGCUCCUUGGUAAGGUAGCUGAGAUGGUUUUUAUUUCAUGUCUUCACGUCUGGAGAAGGCGUUUGGUUCUUCGUCGUAUGGUUGUUGUAACUUGGUCUGGAUUGACUCCCCCUCCCCCCCUCCCCCUUCCCUCAUUCCUCCCACUGUCGUUUCUGUGCGGCUUUCUCUUUGGAUUAAAAAAAAAAAAAAAAAGGAUGCACACAAAGUCCACGAAGAACAUUUUUAUUCUCCGAGGAGAUCUCUUUCAACACACUGAUCGCAAAAACAAACAAACAAACAAACAAACAAACAAAAAAAAACAGCGGGAGCAACCACAAAACUGCAAUUAUUAAUGUUUUCCCUUUAAGGUCAAGAGCUGAUGUGAUUGAUUAGUCGCACUUACUGGCACUAGAUAAUUUGGCAGUGGUAAAAUAGCAUACCAUCUGUGAGCGGUUUCUCCUCGUCUAGGAACGUAUUUAGCACUUAAAGAACGCAAAAACGAUGGAUCUUUGGCCAGAGAGUUGUUUUCUUUUGAGAUGUCUUUCGCUUAACGUGUAAAUAUAUGUCCACCCAGGAAACGGCACCGUUUGAAAGCCUUUCCUGUAGGACAACUCCAAAAUCAUACCUUUCUGGGAAAUUGUCCGUGGAUAGGUUGGUUCAAGGCUACCGAUCCGCUGCAUCGUCUCCACCAGCUGCUAAUUAGAAGAUGCUUCUAGCAGCCACGACCCUCACAUCUCUCAGAUCAUACUGAAAAUGUAGCACUGAUGAAUUAGUGUUCGAUUUUUUUCUUUUCCUUUUCUUUAAACGAAGGGUUUUGUGAAUGACUUGUAGGUCGCCUCGAAGAUGGAAACCAAAAAGCUUUAUAUUUAUUUUUGGGGGUAAUUCAGUAGCAAAGUGUCGUCCUUCAGUAUUUGCAGUUUUGUCUUUGCUUCCAGUUUAACGUAUACUUUUGAACGAUCCCGAUUCAACGACCAACUUGAAAGCCCACUUUAGUUUCUUUGUCUACCCCUUUUUUUUUUUUCUUUUUUUUCUUUUUUUUUUCUUUUUCUCCUCCACUAUAGUGGGAACCUCUUCCCAGCUUGCUCUAGAUCUUCCGUAGUGCAUCAGCUGCAUGCUUUCCGCUUUGAUUUGUUUUCAUCUUCAUCUUGACUGUUUGUGUUUUCUCUCAUAGGCUAGGUAUUCUAGCUCCUGUAAAUAGCAUCAGUUAGGUAGGGUCUGCUGUAUUAUGUUGAAAUACUAUAAUUAUUGGUGUAAAAAGACAAAAAAAAAAAAAAGUCGGCUCGUGAUCAAUAACGAAGCUCUCUGUAUUGUACGAGUAAUUUUGACGAUUUAAGCAGUAGUUCAAUAAACAUGCAAGCUCUCGA